rnacentral:rRNA from 1 species
UACGUAGGGGGCAAGCGUUAUCCGGAUUUACUGGGUGUAAUGGGAGCGUAGACGGCAAUGCAAGUCUGGAGUGAAAGGCGGGGGCCCAACCCCCGGACUGCUCUGGAAACUGUAUAGCUGGAGUGCAGGAGAGGUAAGUGGAAUUCCUAGUGUAGCGGUGAAAUGCGUAGAUAUUAGGAGGAACACCAGUGGCGAAGGCGGCUUACUGGACUGUAACUGACGUUGAGGCUCGAAAGCGUGGGGAGCAAACAGG